CCUACGGGAGGCAGCAGUGAGGAAUAUUGGUCAAUGGACGAGAGUCUGAACCAGCCAAGUAGCGUGAAGGAUGACUGCCCUAUGGGUUGUAAACUUCUUUUAUAUGGGAAUAAAAUGUUCCACGUGUGGGAUUUUGUAUGUACCAUAUGAAUAAGGAUCGGCUAACUCCGUGCCAGCAGCCGCGGUAAUACGGAGGAUCCGAGCGUUAUCCGGAUUUAUUGGGUUUAAAGGGAGCGUAGGUGGAUUGUUAAGUCAGUUGUGAAAGUUUGCGGCUCAACCGUAAAAUUGCAGUUGAAACUGGCAGUCUUGAGUACAGUAGAGGUGGGCGGAAGUCGUGGUGUAGCGGUGAAAUGCUUAGAUAUAACGAAGAACUCCGAUUGCGAAGGCAGUUCACUGGACUGCAACUGACACUGAGGCUCGAAAGUGUGGGUAUCAAACAGGAUUAGAUACCCUUGUAGUC
rnacentral:rRNA from 1 species